rnacentral:rRNA from 1 species
CCGGUACAAGCGGGGUAGGUGUGUGACAGGCAAAUCCGUCACAUAAGCCGAAGACGUGAUGUGGAGCGAAAUUAAGUAGUGAAGUAUGUGAGCCAUGUGCCGAGAAAAGCCGCUAUUGUUUUAUAUGUGCCCGUACCGUAAACCGACACAGGUGGAUGAGGAGAGAAUCCUAAGGCCGACGGAAGAAGCAUUGUUAAGGAAUUCGGCAAAAUGACCCCGUAACUUCGGGAGAAGGGGUGCCCACUGAAUGGUGGGCCGCAGAGAAUAGGCUCAAGCAACUGUUUAGCAAAAACACAGGUCUAUGCGAAACCGAAAGGUGAAGUAUAUGGGCUGACGCCUGCCCGGUGCUGGAAGGUUAAGAGGAGAGGUUAGCGCAAGCGAAGCUUUGAAUUUAAGCCCCAGUAAACGGCGGCCGUAACUAUAACGGUCCUAAGGUAGCGAAAUUCCUUGUCGGGUAAGUACCGACCCGCACGAAAGGCGUAAUGAUUUGAGCACUGUCUCGACAAUGCAUCCGGUGAAAUUGAAGUACCAGUGAAGAUGCUGGUUACCCGCGCCAGGACGGAAAGACCCCAUGGAGCUUUACUCCAGUUUGAUACUGGGAUUCGGUACUGCACGUACAGGAUAGGUGGGAGACUGAGAACUAUGGACGCCAGUCUGUAGGGAGUCGCUGUUGGGAUACCACCCCUGUAGUACUGGGUUUCUAACCAUCUGCCGUGAUCCGGCAGUGGGACAAUGUCAGGCGGGGAGUUUGACUGGGGCGGUCGCCUCCGAAAGGGUAUCGGAGGCGCUCAAAGGUUCCCUCAGAAUGGUCGGAAACCAUUUGAAGAGUGCAAAGGCAGAAGGGAGCUUGACUGCGACACCGACGGGUGGAGCAGGUACGAAAGUAGGACUUAGUGAUCCGGUGGUAUAAAGUGGGAUUGCCAUCGCUCAACGGAUAAAAGCUACCCUGGGAUAACAGGCUUAUCACUCCCAAGAGUUCACAUCGACGGAGUGGUUUGGCACCUCGAUGUCGGCUCAUCGCAUCCUGGGGCUGUAGCAGGUCCCAAGGGUUGGGCUGUUCGCCCAUUAAAGCGGUACGCGAGCUGGGUUCAGAACGUCGUGAGACAGUUCGGUCCCUAUCCGGCGCGGGCGGAGGAUAUUUGAGAGGAGCUGUCCUUAGUACGAGAGGACCGGGAUGGACGGACCACUGGUGUAUCUGUUGUCGACCAACGGCAUGGCAGAGUAGCCAAGUCUGGAAGGGAUAAACGCUGAAGGCAUCUAAGCGUGAAGCCCCCCUCAAGAUGAGAUAUCCCUCCUUCGGGAGUAAGACCCCUUGAAGACUACAAGGUAGAUAGGGCAGAGGUGGAAGUGUGGCAACACAUGGAGCUGACUGUUACUAAUAGGUCGAGGGCUUGAUCA